GAUCAACGCUGGCGGCGUGCCUAAUACAUGCAAGUCGUACGGAAAGGCCCUUCGGGGUACUCGAGUGGCGGACGGCUGAGUAACGCGUGGGAACGUGCCCCAAAGUGAGGGAUAACGCACCGAAAGGUGUGCUAAUACCGCAUAUGGUCUUCGGAUUAAAGCUUCGGCGCUUUGGGAGCGGCCCGCGUACGAUUAGAUAGUUGGUGAGGUAAUGGCUCACCAAGUCGACGAUCGUUAGCUGGUCUGAGAGGAUGAUCAGCCAGACUGGGACUGAGACACGGCCCAGACUCCUACGGGAGGCAGCAGUAAGGAAUCUUCCACAAUGGGGGCAACCCUGAUGGAGCAACGCCGCGUGCAGGAUGAAGGUUUUCGAAUCGUAAACUGCUUUUAUAAGUGAAGAAUAUGACGGUAACUUAUGAAUAAGGAUCGGCUAACUACGUGCCAGCCGCCGCAGUAA
rnacentral:rRNA from 1 species